UCCAUCCAUCCUGAGAGGGGUACCUAUGU
rnacentral:piRNA from 1 species